rnacentral:rRNA from 1 species
CGAGAAAGCCCGCAAGGGUGAGUACAGCGGCGCACGGGUGCGUAACACGUGGGUAAUCUGCCCUGGAGCCCGGAAUAACUCCCCGAAAGGGGUGCUAAUGCCGGAUGAGCCCACGGGAGCCUCGGCUCCUGCGGGAAAAGGUGGCCUCUGCAUGCAAGCUAUCACUUCAGGAUGAGCCCGCGGCCCAUCAGCUAGUUGGCGGGGUAAUGGCCCACCAAGGCUACGACGGGUAGCUGGUCUGAGAGGACGAUCAGCCACACUGGAACUGAGACACGGUCCAGACUCCUACGGGAGGCAGCAGUGGGGAAUCUUGCGCAAUGGGCGAAAGCCUGACGCAGCAACGCCGCGUGUGUGAUGAAGGUCUUCGGAUCGUAAAGCACUGUCGCGAGGGACG